AGACCGUAAAAAUCUGACGCAAAUGGUGCAUAAUGAUAAGGGUAGAACCACUGCCAAGAGCACACUUCAUGGUAGUAGUACCUCAUGACCCAACAAAUCCCUUCUAUAUAUUUUAAAACCACAUGCCUCCGAACUCUCUCUUGCUCAUCUUUGGUCUUGGCCUCAAACUUUUUUGCAUAAUAUCUUUCUUUCCAAUCAUCUUCUCCCAGUUUCAUCUUGUCAGCUAAAAUAUCUGCUUCCUUGGAUAAACGGUGGAUUGAGUCUUCAAAAUUCAUGCCUCCAGAUUCUUCCACUGAAGGUGAAGAUCCAUGACUUGUGGAAUGUGAAUUACGAUCAUUCUGCAGCAAUUUUGCGAGCUUCCUGUUUAAAAAGCGCUGUUUCUUCUCUUUCAUUAUCUGGCUCCUUUUCCUAAAGAUUGCGCCUUCAUAUGAACUCACAGCUUGUAUAAAAUGCUCCACACGUGCCAAAUUUAUCUGAAAAGAAUCUGUCAAGUAACCACCCAUUUUCACAAAUUCCUUCUUGUACACCAUCAUGAGCAAAUCAAUAGCGCCCUCAGAUAUUGCCAGAGUUGGUAAGUGUGGCAGAAAAUCAUUUCCAACAAACAAGCACAUUAAGACAAAAUCAUCAAUCAGCCGCUCCAG
rnacentral:misc_RNA from 1 species